CCCACGGGCGGCAGCAGUAGGGAAUCUUCCACAAUGGGCGAAAGCCUGAUGGAGCAACGCCGCGUGGGUGAAGAAGGUCUUCGGAUCGUAAAACCCUGUUGUUAGAGAAGAAAGUGCGUGAGAGUAACUGUUCACGUUUCGACGGUAUCUAACCAGAAAGCCACGGCUAACUACGUGCCAGCAGCCGCGGUAAUACGUAGGUGGCAAGCGUUAUCCGGAUUUAUUGGGCGGAAAGGGAACGCAGGCGGUCUUUUAAGUCUGAUGUGAAAGCCUUCGGCUUAACCGGAGUAGUGCAUUGGAAACGGGGAGACUUGAGUGCGGAAGAGGAGAGUGGAACUCCAUGUGUAGCGGUGAAAUGCGUAGAUAUAUGGAAGAACACCAGUGGCGAAGGCGGCUCUCUGGGCUGUAACUGACGCUGAGGUUCGAAAGCGUGGGUAGCGAACAGGAUUAGAUACCCCGGUAGUC
rnacentral:rRNA from 1 species